AUUUGCAUUUUCAUAAUAGGUACAUAUUUUCGUUUGUCCUAUUGUAAAUUAUAAAAAUUAUUAACGCUGCAUUAUAGUCAUUCUUAUAUUAGUUUAUAUAUUUCUACAUCAAUAUAGUUAUUUUUGAUAUUACUUAAUUUUUAGACAAUAUGAGUUCAAUUGGAACAGGUUAUGAUUUAUCCGCAUCCCAAUUUUCUCCUGAUGGCAGAGUGUUUCAAGUUGAAUAUGCAUUCAAGGCUGUGGAAAAUAGCGGAACGGCCAUAGCUUUACGAGGAUCAGAUGGUGUUGUAUUUGCUGUUGAAAAGUUGAUCACUUCCAAAUUACACGAAGAUGGAACUGGUAGAAGGUUGCAUAGCGUCGACAACCACGUAGGAAUGGCAGUUGGAGGUUUAACGGCCGAUGCCAGUGCUAUAUUGGAUGUUGCACGUGAAGAAGCAAAAUCUUUCCGUCAAACCUACAAUGUGCCUAUUUCAUUAAAAUACUUGAAUGAGAGAUUAUCCAUGUAUAUACAUGCUCAUACAUUAUACAGUGCUAUUAGGCCCUUUGGUUGUGCGGUAAUUAUUGGUGCCUAUGAUCAUCACGAUGGUCCAGAAAUGUAUAUGAUUGACCCUGCAGGCGUUUCAUUUGGAUACUUUGGGUGUGCCAUUGGUAAAGCAAAGCAGACAGCAAAAACUGAGAUUGAAAAGUUAAAUUUGAAAACAAUGUUAUGCAAAGAUUUAAUCAAAGAAGCAGCAAAAAUUAUUUACAUGGUGCACGAUGAAUUAAAAGAUAAACAAUUUGAGUUAGAACUCAGUUGGGUUGGUAGCCACACGAAUGGGAAGCAUGAAGAAGUUUCGAAAGAUGUUUAUGAAGAAUCGCUUAAGUAUGCUAAAGCGUCAUUGGAUGAUGAUUCUGGUUCAGAUGGAGAAUAACAUGUUAAAUUAUAAUAUUAUACUGAUAUAUAUUUUCAAGUUACUGGUAAUUAAUAAAUGAAUGUUUAAAAAUAUGAAAUUGCCAAUUUUUUUUAUAAAACUAUAAAUAGUACAGAAAUAUUUAUCAAAAUCUAUGAUAAAUUAAACUAUUGUGAUGAUUAAAAUGGUUUGUGGAAAAAAAAUGUAUCUACAAAAUAAAAAAAAGACAAAUCUUAAUAUUAUGUCAA